UAAUACAUCGGAACGUGCCCUGUAUGGGGGAGUAACUAGUCGAAAGAUUAGCUAAUACCGCAUACGACCUGAGGGUGAAAGUGGGGGACCGGCAAGGCCUCAUGCUAUAGGAGCGGCCGAUGUCUGAUUAGCUAGUUGGUGAGGUAAAGGCUCACCAAGGCGACGAUCAGUAGCUGGUCUGAGAGGACGAUCAGCCACACUGGGACUGAGACACGGCCCAG
rnacentral:rRNA from 1 species